CUAGAAACAGGAUCAGCUGAGGAACUGUCGAGGGGAUCUGACACCCUCUUCCGGCCUCUUUUGGUAGCAGCUACACAUGUAGUAUGAAGAUAUAUAAGCAGUCAAAAGAACCAUAAACAAAAAUAAAUAAACUUUAAAAAAUAAAAAAGAAGCUCUUUCGGCCUUAGUGCCAUCUAACGUGAAACUCCUGCUCCGUGAGAUCGAAGUGGAGGGAGAAGCAAAUGCCGAGGCUGAGGGGAAAGAGGAAAGAUGAGGCGGAGGUCCACGUAAAUUGUCCCGUGCACCCCCAAAGUCUGCAGCAGCAGAAAGAAGGGUGCUGAAGGCUGCGGCACUGGUACGAGUUGUUGGACUGAACGCUGCUGUCGGCAGUAAGUCUCAGUGGAUCUGGGGCAUCAGCGCCUGCACCCCAAGACCACACGAGAGACCGUCUGCCUUCCUUACAACCAGGACAGUUGGCCCUCUGCCCUGGCCCUCUGGCAUCAUGGAUUACUUCUGUUCUCACUUGUGGUCAAGUGUAACUCACAAACAUUCAAACCCAGGGCCUCAUGUAGGAGCCAUACCGACUGGACCACUGACUCGGUGGUUGGGAGCACGUACUGCAGUCACAGAGGACCUGAGUUCAGCUGGGAACGGCUGCGAACUGCACCCCCGACCCCAUAGCAGAGUCUACAUGCUUUUCUCAUCAUUAUAAGCAUAUUCGGCACAGACAGCAGAGGGCCAACAAAGCAGACCUAAAGGUCUGUCUGCAAAGGGCCAACAGCCAGGUUCUCCAAGCUGGUUGACUCCGAAGACCCAGACUCUGGGAUGGAGGGAGCAGCUACGGUUGCCCCUUUUCUUACCAGACUUUCACUGGUUUAAGCAUCUAUUCUCGACUGUCCACCUCCAUCAUCCUGUGUUGAUGGACAUUUUAUUGUAAUGAAGGUCUCCCUCACCCUUGUUUAUUGUUGCUUUAUUGCCUUUUACCGAGUGAUUUGUUUACUGAAUAUUACUGAACCAGUAAAGACUUUUAUUCAGGCCA